rfam:Ictidomys tridecemlineatus contig030494, whole genome shotgun sequence.
GGGGCUGGGGCUCAGUGGUAGAGCACUUGCCUAGCAUGUGUGAGGCCCUGGGUUCGAUUCUCAGCACCA